CCUUCGGACCAAAAUUGUUGUAUGGCUUGUGUGGGGCGACGGGCACAACGUGAAUCCGUAAUAGGCCAUGGCGGGUGUCUUUUUAAGCAUCCAAGCCAUACAACAAUUUGGGGUUGGGAGGUGAUGGAUAUAAAUCGAUGUAUGUUUAUUGUCGGAUGAUAUGGUUGCGCGAUUUACACCAAACAUACAUCGAUUUAUAUCCAUCAUGGCGCUUAUCGAUGUAUGGCUUGUGUGGGGCGAGAAACACAACGUGGAACCGUAAAACGAUCUGCAAGGGUUUCCCAAACCACACAAGCCAUACAUCGGUUGUAAGUCGCAAAACAACCACAAUUGUUGUAUUGCUUGGAUGUGUGCGAGAGGCACAACGUGAAUCCGUAAUAGGCCAUGGCGGGUGUCUUUUUAAGCGUCCAAGCCAUACAACAAUUGGGGGGGAUUAUUCUAGCGGGUUUCGUUCUCUUCGUAUCGUGC
rnacentral:misc_RNA from 1 species